rnacentral:rRNA from 1 species
GCAAGUCGAACGCGAAAGUCACUUCGGUGGCGAGUAGAGUGGCGGACGGGUGAGUAACGCAUGGGAAUCCACCUUACAGUGGGGGACAACCCGAGGAAACUCGGGCUAAUACCGCAUACGACCUACGGGUGAAAGGGGGCUUCGGCUCUCGCUGAUGGAUGAGCCCAUGUCCGAUUAGCUAGUUGGUGAGGUAAAGGCUCACCAAGGCGACGAUCGGUAGCUGGUCUGAGAGGAUGGCC